CCUACGGGGGGCAGCAGUGAGGAAUAUUGGUCAAUGGACGAGAGUCUGAACCAGCCAAGUAGCGUGAAGGAUGACUGCCCUAUGGGUUGUAAACUUCUUUUAUAUGGGAAUAAAAUGUUCCACGUGUGGGAUUUUGUAUGUACCAUAUGAAUAAGGAUCGGCUAACUCCGUGCCAGCAGCCGCGGUAAUACGGAGGAUCCGAGCGUUAUCCGGAUUUAUUGGGUUUAAAGGGAGCGUAGGUGGAUUGUUAAGUCAGUUGUGAAAGUUUGCGGCUCAACCGUAAAAUUGCAGUUGAAACUGGCAGUCUUGAGUACAGUAGAGGUGGGCGGAAUUCGUGGUGUAGCGGUGAAAUGCUUAGAUAUCACGAAGAACUCCGAUUGCGAAGGCAGUUCACUGGACUGCAACUGACACUGAGGCUCGAAAGUGUGGGUAUCAAACAGGAUUAGAUACCCUAGUAGGC
rnacentral:rRNA from 1 species